UAUAGAGGGGCUACGAGGACCUUUUUGUGAAGAAGGAACUAUUCUUGGCAGAACUGCGUGUGACUAUUGUGAAUCAAACACCACUACUAUCAUUAUAAGCAGUGUGGUGUCUUUAUUCCUUGUUCUAACUGGAAGUAUUCUGAACUUAAUCAUAUGGAAGAGGAAAAACGAAACAAGAUGAAAUCCUUUUAUUUUUCUUAAGGUGGAACUGAAAAGCCAAAAGCUUCAAGGGCAAAGAUGAGGAAUGUGGAUGCUCCCGGAAUCAUAGGUCCGAUAAAAUGUUUCUAGAGCCAUCUAAAUGAAAAUCAGCAACUGGUGAAGGGGAUGAAUCCCAUUAUACAGACAUAUGUGUGCUUGAUAAAGCAAACGCAUACAAAGAACUGUCCCGUGAUACCGAGGCUGUUGACAAAAUAUAAGGACAUGUUCAGAAGUAGAGGUGUGAAAAAGUUUACUACCGAGCAACAUAAUCAGAAGACUCUUAUGUUUUCAACAAAUUGCAACCGUGCAUUUGAAUUGUAUAUUCCGCAUUUUUUAAGCUGUUGAUCUUAUCCUGAAGUUUUCUUUCAAUUUUAAAUUGAUUAAAGGACUUAAAGGCCGAGAUUUUUAACCGUACGGUUUUCUCAGGUAAGGGGAGGGACUAAAUUUUACACGCGUGGCACCCCGAGGCAUUGAUGGUCGUGCAGACCGUGGGAAGCGCUUAUCCCUAUACACAAACAGUAUACACAGGAAGUCCAUGGGUAUUACCUGUACAGCUUGAUGGCCUACUGUUCAUCAUAAUUUAGUAGAAUUCGACAUCGUAAAUAAAAAAUAUUAAUAGUAAUUAAUGAUAAUUGUAAAAUUCCGUAAUUUCAGACUCAUAUCUAAUAUCAAACAAGCAGAAAUCUGUCAGGCCGACUUU